rnacentral:rRNA from 1 species
UACGGAGGGAGCUAGCGUUGUUCGGAAUUACUGGGCGUAAAGCGUACGUAGGCGGUUAUUCAAGUCAGAGGUGAAAGCCCGGAGCUCAACUCCGGAAUUGCCUUUGAAACUGGAUCACUAGAAUCAUGGAGAGGUCAGUGGAAUUCCGAGUGUAGAGGUGAAAUUCGUAGAUAUUCGGAAGAACACCAGUGGCGAAGGCGACUCACUGGACAAGUAUUGACGCUGAGGUACGAAAGCGUGGGGAGCAAACAGG